GUGUUACGGUUCGCUUUUCCACCAGUGACCACACAUGUUGACAUCAGAGCUGAGGUGUGCAGUCAUAAGGAAAGCAAGUGUCCUAUCUAACUUUUAUUGUCUCUGUUCAGCUUCACGCUUGGAACACUGUUCUUCAUGCACAGCAGUAUUUGCCUAAAUUUCUCCUUAAUCCAAUUAAUGACUUUCAGUUCACACCCUGGCUGUGUGAGGAUGAUUUGGGUUGGGGAUGCUGUAGUGGGGUGUCUCACUAAGCCAACAAGAACAUAUCCAAAAUGCAUACA